rnacentral:rRNA from 1 species
AGUGAACGCUGGCGGUAGGCCUAACACAUGCAAGUCGAACGUCAGCACAGUAAGAGCUUGCUCUUACGGGUGGCGAGUGGCGGACGGGUGAGGAAUACAUCGGAAUCUACUUUUUCGUGGGGGAUAACGUAGGGAAACUUACGCUAAUACCGCAUACGACCUACGGGUGAAAGCAGGGGAUCUUCGGACCUUGCGCGAUUGAAUGAGCCGAUGUCGGAUUAGCUAGUUGGCGGGGUAAAGGCCCACCAAGGCGACGAUCCGUAGCUGGUCUGAGAGGAUGAUCAGCCACACUGGAACUGAGACACGGUCCAGACUACUACGGGAGGCAGCAGUGGGGAAUAUUGGACAAUGGGCGCAAGCCUGAUCCAGCCAUACCGCGUGGGUGAAGAAGGCCUUCGGGUUGUAAAGCCCUUUUGUUGGGAAAGAAAAGCAGCAGGUUAAUACCCCGCUGUUCUGACGGUACCCAAAGAAUAAGCACCGGCUAACUUCGUG